rnacentral:rRNA from 1 species
CCGCCAGAGAACAACGAGCAAAGCUUAAAACCCAAAGGACUUGGCGGCGCUUCAUAUCACCCUAGAGGGGCCUGUCACAUAAUCGAUAACCCACGAUAUACCUCACCAUUUUUAACCCCAUCAGCCUAUAUACCGCCGUCGCCAGUUCAUCUCGAGGAAAGGAACAAAAUGGACUUAAAAGUACAAACACUAAAACGACAGGUCAAGGUGUAGCUCAUGAAAUGGUAAAUGAUGGACCACAUUGCUUAACAAAGCACACUAAAACUGCACUGAAACACACACUUUAAGGUGAAUUUAACAGUAAGACAAAUAAGAAAGUCUGUCUAAAGCAUGCUCUGAAGCGUGCACACACCGCCCGUCACCCUCAA